AUUCGGCUGACGAGUCCAAUAUAGGACGAAACGUGCGUCCUGAAU
rnacentral:hammerhead_ribozyme from 1 species